GAUUCCUACGGGAGGCAGCAGUGGGGAAUAUUGCACAAUGGGCGCAAGCCUGAUGCAGCAACGCCGCGUGAGGGAUGACGGCCUUCGGGUUGUAAACCUCUUCUAGCAGGGAAGAAGCGAAAGUGACGGUACCUGCAGAAAAAGCGCCGGCUAACUACGUGCCAGCAGCCGCGGUAAUAAUCG
rnacentral:rRNA from 1 species